UACGUAGGGGGCAAGCGUUGUCCGGAUUUAUUGCGCGUAAAGAGCUCGUAGGUGGUUCGGUAAGUCGGAUGUGAAAUCUCCAGGCUCAACCUGGAGGGGUCAUUCGAUACUGCCGUGACUAGAGUUCGGUAGGGGAGUGUGGAAUUCCUGGUGGAGCGGUGAAAUGCGCAGAUAUCAGGAGGAACACCCGUAGCGAAGGCGGCACUCUGGGCCGAUACUGACACUGAGGAGCGAAAGCGUGGGGAGCGAACAGG
rnacentral:rRNA from 1 species